rnacentral:rRNA from 1 species
UACGAAGGGGGCUAGCGUUGUUCGGAUUUACUGGGCGUAAAGCGCACGUAGGCGGAUCGUUAAGUCGGGGGUGAAAUCCUGGAGCUCAACUCCAGAACUGCCUUCGAUACUGGCGAUCUUGAGUCCGGAAGAGGUGAGUGGAACUCCUAGUGUAGAGGUGGAAUUCGUAGAUAUUAGGAAGAACACCAGUGGCGAAGGCGGGUCUCUGGGCCGAUACUGACGCUGAGG